AGAUGCAUAAAAAUAAUUGUAUUUAGUUAACUGAGUAAGUUAGAUUUUACCAUUAAAACUGUUGUAAUGCAUCAACAAUAUAGGUAGCAUUUAAUGGCCAAUUUAAGUAAUCUUAUGCAUACAAAAGUGAAUUAAUAAAAAAUUGUACAUUUGUGGUUUCUGAUUAAACAAACAAGCCAUGUCCAAAAAGUUAGUAUACCGCAUAAAAAUUACCUCUCGUGUUAUAUAAUUAAUAUUUACAAUUAUGUUGUUGACUGUAGGAAGAAACUUUCAUCGAAUGAAUGAUCUUCAGAAUUAUCAACUUUGUUAUGGGAAAAUACUUACAUGCAUGAAAUUUAUAUUUAAUGUUUAUAUUUAUAUUUUUAUUGAAUUAUUCAAUCAUUUCCAUACAUUGAUGAGUAAACCUUCUUUUUUCUUUCAAUGACAAACCAAAUGGACAAUAAAAUAUCCUGGAAUAUGAUUUUUAUGAUUAUAAAAUUUAAUCGAAAUCCUAAUAUAAACAGACUGAACGUACGUCAAAGACGAACUUGUAGAUUUUAAUGUUGUUUUUUAGACUAUGAAAAAUAAAAUUAUUUACAUAUUG